UCCUAACCAGACAAACUGAUCUUAUCCAACUGUCACGGGCUUGGCCUCUCAUUUCCUGUCUGGCUCUGUCUCCCUCUCAGGCUGAAGGCUUUGUGUCUAAGGUUCCCGGGCUAUGUAAUAGCUGUUUGGAGACCAAUCGUGGAAGAGUUAGACUAUUGCUCUGGCUCACAAUGGCACUGUAUGGAGCUUUUCCCUGCCUGUGGCCAAAUGAUGAAAUGCUUCAUGGAUAGUUCUGAUGGAUCCAAGGCCUCUCCGAAUAGGAGUGAGGUAAUGCUGCUUAAGAGUCAUAUAAGUCCUGCAUGAAACAAUGUUUUGGACUAUACGCCAGUCCUUUCCUGAAAGGGACUGGACACAAAUGCCAUGUCAUGCCAUUUUGCAGAAUAUUUCAUGGA